ACAUGCAAGUCGAGCGGUAACAGGCGUAGCAAUACGUGCUGACGAGCGGCGAACGGGUGAGUAACGCUUCGGAAUCUGCCCAAUGGUGGGGAAUAACCAGCCGAAAGGUUGGCUAAUACCGCAUGAGCCCUACGGGGGAAAGCGGGGGAUCGUAAGACCUCGCGCCGAUGGAUGAGCCGAAGCCGGAUUAGCUAGUUGGUAGGGUAACGGCCUACCAAGGCGACGAUCCGUAGCUGGUCUGAGAGGACGACAGCCACACUGGGACUGAGACACGGCCCAGACUCCUACGGGAGGCAGCAGUGGGGAAUAUUGGACAAUGGGGGAAACCCUGAUCCAGCGACGCCGCGUGUGUGAAGAAGGCCUGCGGGUUGUAAAGCACUUUUAGUGGGGAUGAAAAGCUCAGGGCUAACACCCCUGGGUCUUGACCUAACCCACAGAAAAAGCACCGGCUAACUCUGUGCCAGCAGCCGCGGUAAUACAGAGGGUGCAAGCGUUAAUCGGAAUUACUGGGCGUAAAGCGAACGUAGACGGUUGGAUAAGUCAGAUGUGAAAGCCCCGGGCUC
rnacentral:rRNA from 1 species